GUGUCAGCCGCCGCGGUAAUACAGGGGGUGCAAGCGUUGCUCGGAAUUACUGGGCGUAAAGCGCACGCAGGCGGAUGAACAAGUCGGACGUGAAAUCCCUGGGCUCAACUCAGGAACUGCAUUCGAAACUGUUCGUCUGGAGUACGGGAGAGGUGAGUGGAAUUCCUGGUGUAGAGGUGAAAUUCGUAGAUAUCAGGAGGAACACCGGCGGCGAAAGCGGCUCACUGGCCCGAUACUGACGCUCAUGUGCGAGAGCGUGGGGAGCAAACAGGAUUAGAAACCCCCGUAGUCC
rnacentral:rRNA from 1 species